rnacentral:rRNA from 1 species
GACGAACGCUGGCGGCGUGCUUAACACAUGCAAGUCGAGCGGUAAGGCCCUUUCGGGGGUACACGAGCGGCGAACGGGUGAGUAACACGUGGGUGACCUGCCCUCAGCUCUGGGAUAAGCCUGGGAAACCGGGUCUAAUACCGGAUAUGACUCCAUGACGCAUGUUGUGGGGUGGAAAGCCUUGUGCGGCUGAGGAUGGGCCCGCGGCCUAUCAGCUUGUUGGUGGGGUGAUGGCCUACCAAGGCGACGACGGGUAGCCGGCCUGAGAGGGCGACCGGCCACACUGGGACUGAGACACGGCCCAGACUCCUACGGGAGGGCAGCAGUGGGGAAUCUUGCGCAAUGGGCGAAAGCCUGACGCAGCGACGCCGCGUGAGGGAUGACGGCCUCGG